GGGGUUUGGAAUCUCUGUUAUUGCGGGACAACAGGAAAGGGUAAGUCAGUGGCUGAUCAACCAUGAGUUUGAGGAGCAAAACGAAGAAUGUACAUGUUCAAGCCAUAUCAGACCAAGCGGGUUAAGGGUCUAUCAGUGUUGAACUUUUGAAUUCUGUUUUGCCGCUUAGGUCGGCUAGAAAGAAAAGACUUGUAAUAAGUUUGUAAUUAUUUUUGGGAUCCCAACUAUUUUGAAAAGUUUAAAUAUAUUACAAGUUUAUUUUCA